UAAGUGUACUGGAAAGUGCACUUGGAUCAACAAACUAUAACUUAAAUAAAGUAUUUCGCUUACACCGAAAAGAUGUCUGCUAACCCGGACUAUUUUGAGCUUAAAAUCUAGCCUACUAACCUACACAUGCCCACUAAACCUAAUAAUUUACAAAACAAAACAUUUUAACUUAUAAGUAAAGGUGAUUGAAAACCUUCUAAGAGCUUCAGACCCAGUACCGCAAGGGAACAAUGAAAUAAACUGAAAUAACCUUAAGCCCCCAAAAGCAAAGAUUUAACCUUGUACCUUUUGCAUCAUGGUCUCGCCAGUUAAAUCGGGCAAAACGAAACUUUUAGUCCAACCCCCCGAAACUAGACGAGCUACUUCGAAACAACCUAUAGUGCCAACCCGUCUCUGUUGCAAAAGAGUGGGAUGAUUUUUGAGUAGAGGUGACAGACCUAUCGCGUCUAGAGAUAGCUGGUUAUUCAAGAAAGGGAUUUUAGUUCUGCCUUAAGCAACCCGCGCAACAUAAAUCAAACUUAAGAGUCAUUCAAAUAAGGCACAGCUUAUUUGAAACAGGAUACAACCUAAAAUUUAGGGUAAAAAUGUAAUUUAGUAAACAAGUUGGCCCAAAAGCAGCCACCUUUAAAAAAGCGUCAAAGCUUACCUACACCUAUACUAAAUUCCUCAAACAACAUUCAACCCUUUUUCUUCUACUGAAUAAUUUUAUAACAAUAUAAAAGCCCCCCUGCUAGAACUAGUAACAAGAAAUUGAAUUUCUCCAAAAUGUAAACUUAAACCAGCAUGAACAAAGCACUGGCAAUUAACGCUCGUGAACCAUUUAUAGCAACACACCCAGAAAAUCCUACACAAACUCGCGUUACCCUAACACCAGAACAUUUCAGGAAAGAUUAAAAGGGUGAGAAGGAACUCGGCAAAUUUUAACCCCGCCUGUUUACCAAAAACAUCGCCUCUUGCUAAGUUAUAAGAGGUCCAGCCUGCCCAGUGACAAAGUUCAACGGCCGCGGUAUCCUAACCGUGCGAAGGUAGCAUAAUCACUUGUUCUUUAAAUAAGGACUUGUAUCAACGGCAUCACGAGGGUUAUACUGUCUCCUCCCCCCAAUCAGUGAAACUGAUCUCCCCGUGAAGAAGCGAGGAUAUCACUAUAAGACGAGAAGACCCCAUGGAGCUUUAAACUCAGCAGCACCAUCUUUAACUCAAACCUAUAAAACUAAGAGGAACUGCUUGCUAGUUUUAGGUUGGGGUGACCGCGGAGAACAACCAAACCUCCACAACGAAUGGGCACGCCCUAAUCCAAGAGCUACCGCUCUAAGAAUCAAUAAAUUGACGUACUAUGAUCCGACAUUCGAUCAACGGACCAAGUUACCCUGGGGAUAACAGCGCAAUCCAUUUCAAGAGCUCCUAUCGACAAAUGGGUUUACGACCUCGAUGUUGGAUCAGGGUAUCCUAGUGGUGCAGCCGCUACUAAAGGUUCGUUUGUUCAACGAUUAAAACCCU
rnacentral:rRNA from 1 species